GAUGAACGCUGGCGGCGUGCCUCAAACAUGCAAGGUCGAGCGGGGCUAUGUAAUAUCGCAAGGUAGAACAUAGCCUAGCGGCGAACGGGUGAGUAACACGUGGGUAACCUGCCUGGAAGACAGGGAUAACGAUUCGAAAGGGUCGCUAAUACCUGAUAAUAUCCUUUCAUCGCAUGGUGAUAGGAAGAAAGGGGAAACCCGCUUUCAGAUGGGCCCGCGUCCCAUCAGCUAGUUGGUAAGGUAAAGGCUUACCAAGGCGACGACGGGUAGCCGGUCUGAGAGGAUGUACGGCCACACUGGGACUGAGAUACGGCCCAGACUCCUACGGGAGGCAGCAGUUGGGAAUCUUAGGCAAUGGACGAAAGUCUGACCUAGCGACGCCGCGUGAGGGAAGAAGGCCUUCGGGUUGUAAACCUCUGUCAUGGGGGAAGAAGUAAGUGACGGUACCCCAAGAGGAAGCCCCUGCUAACUACGUG
rnacentral:rRNA from 1 species